UGACAAUAAGCAUGAAUGACAUCCAGUUGAGGGCUGUUUUGCCCUAUCUCCUGUUUGCAACAUGUAUCCAUGGAGCGACUGUCAAUCAGAAUCCCAGCGAUCUAAUAAUGAAAGCUGGGGGUUCAGCCAGCAUCUCCUGCUCCCAUGAUGACAACAGCUUGCAUUAUUUUUACUGGUACCAGCAACACCCAGGCAAAGGCAUUGAGCUUAUUGCCAACAUCAUCACUUCUCAGAAGCCAGAAUUUGAACAGAGCUUCAAAAAUCAGUCGGAACGAUAUGACAUACAAAAGCCUAACACGCUGACUGGAUCUUUCGUCAUUAAAAGUUUACAGACAUCCGACAGCGCUGUGUACUUCUGCGCGGCAACAAACACGUCAGUAAAACCUGGCUUUCUCUAAUGCAAAAAGUCCUGCGACACAUAGUUCCUGCCACCAGGUAGAGA